rnacentral:tRNA from 1 species
ACCGAAAUAGCUCAGUUGGGAGAGCGUUAGACUGCAGAUCGAAAAGUCCCUGGUUCGAUCUCGGGUUCCGGCA